CGCAGAGUAGCUGUUGACAUUAUAGUUGCGCAGGCACUUUGUUGACUCUAGAGAACCUCGGGCCAAUCGCACAUCCCCGUGACGGCGACUUUGCAUUCGGAUGUCAUCCAUAUCAACUUUCGAUGCCAGUUUCUGCGCCUACCAUGGUGACCACAGGUAAUGGGGAAUCAGGGUUCUAUUCCGUAAAGGGACCCUGAGAAACGGCUACCACAUGCAAGGAAGGCAGCAGGCGCUCAAAUGACCCACUCCCGACGCGGGAAGGUAGUGACG